UUUUGUGACAAAAUAUUUGUCACUAAAGACAAUUUUCGGUGACAAGUAUAAAGUUGUCAUGGAAAGAUUCCAAUUUUCGCGCUCCCGGUUGCUAUUCAUUUGGGCGCGCUGAUAAAAAGUUAAAUACAUUUUUUUUUCAUUCAAAACGACAUCGUUUUUUACGGUUUUGUUUGUCACCAAAAGCAAGCCCUACUUUUACUCUUCUGCCUCUCUCCACUCCCACAGCCACGCUGCCUCUCCAUUCACGCUGAAGACUUCCAUCACCAGCGACGGUGACCCCGACCGCACACUGGAGGCCGGAGCUCCGAUCAACCCAGGUCUUUUUCUGUCUCUCUCAAUAUCUCGCCCCGUCAUGUUCUCUCCGUUGAUCACAAAAUGUCUCUGUCUCUCUCUCUUGCAUGUACGCCUCUCUCUCCAUCUCUGCAUUCUCUCUCUCUCUCUCUCUCUCUCUCUCUCUCUCUCUCUCUCACUUGCGUGUCUCGACCAACGACACACUUCAAGUAUAACGACAUGCUCAAUUCAAGCCCUAACUGGUCCGGUCCGAUCCAAACCCUAACUGGUUCGAUUGGCCGCCAUAUAGCUAUAGACGCCUGAUUGAUCAGGCGUCUAUAGUGAAAGGAUUAUGUUGUGUCUUGUGGUUACUAAACUUUGUCAAAAUGGCUGCGCAUCUGUGGGAGAAAGUUGAUUUCUCGUAUUGUGUAUACAGUGAUAGCAAAUUAACAUUCAUUUUCUGGAAAGCAUAAUGCAAUCUAUUUAUAUUAGUCACAUCAUGUUUCAUUGGCAUUUCGAAGUCUGGGCAGAUUGUCACGACUGCUGUUGUUUGUGCUUGAACUGCUACAAUGAGAAACUCCUUUUCAUGGAAGUAAUGCAGCUGGUGAAUGUCAGUCACAGCAGUCCCCACCACAGCAGCCCCAACCAUAACCACCCCCAUUGAGGUAUCCCCGCGUAAGACAUUGAACUGUGAGAGGGUCUAUCAGGUAGGUAAGGAGAUGAGUUGCUUUUUGGAAGCUAACCAAGAUGGAGUUGCAGACUUUUUGGUAGUUAUUUUUGGAAGCUAACCAAGAUGGAGUUGAAGACUUUUUGGUAGUUAAAUGAAUAACUUGUUUUGAGUUCUUUUUGGAUAUGGAUGUUUUGCAAUUUCGAUAAUGUUGUCAAGUUUGAAGUGGUUAUUGUUGGAGGAUGAAUGUUUUAAAAGGUUUUGAAGUUGGAUGAUGAAUGGUGAUUUAAUGGAUAUUUGAUUUGAAUGAUAUUUUGUUUCUUCGCAAUUUAAA